rfam:Camelus ferus unplaced genomic scaffold scaffold168, whole genome shotgun sequence.
GAGGGUAUAGCUCAAGUGGCAGAGCGCAAGCUUAGUAUGCAUGAGGUCCUGGGUUCAAUCCCCAGUACCUCCA